AAUUCUUAAUUCUAUUUCCGAGAUGUAUUUUUGGCCUUUUCCCAAGAAUCAAAAACCAAAAGAAAACCCUCAGUUUCGUCCCAGCCGCCCUCUCAAAUUCAUCAGCAUCACUCCCAGCCGCACCCACCAAAUUCAUCCAUCGCCGGUACCAAAUCUCGCUAAGAUUCUCGUAUCACCUGCAGUUUCGGCGAAUAUUUGAUUUUCUUCUUCGCUUGGGCCUUCGAUCACCUGCAAUUUCAUCCGUCACCGUUUGUUUGAAGUCUUCAAGAAAGUUAUGUCCCUUGAGUUCGAGAUGAUAAACGUAUGGCUCAUGUCAAACUACCUGGGCUUAGAAAUGAAGCAAAUGGAGAAAGAGAUCUUUAUUUCUCAAGAAAAAUAUUCAAAAGAGGUCUUGAAGAAGUUCAAUGACUGCAAACCCUUGAACACACCAAUGGAGAAUGGAACAAAGUUGUCAAAGUUUGAUAAUGGAGAAAAAGUGGAUUCCACUCUUUCAAAAGCGUUGUAGGAAACUUAAGAUACUUGGCUUGUUGGAGUAAUAAGUUGGUUCGUGGAAGCUCCCACCUCCACUCACUUGAGAGUUUCUAGAAGAACUGUUCAUUACCUGAAAAGUAUGAUUAACUUUGGGCUAUUUUAUUCUCCUUGUAGUGACUUAACUUUGUGGGAUUUUGCGCUAGUGAUUUUGUGGGAGAUAUUGAUGAUAAAAAAGGCACCAUCGUCUUUGUGUUUUUCUUGGUAAUUGUGUUAUUUCUUUCCGCUCAAAGAAACAAUCUAUUGUUAACUCUCUCAACUUGUAAGUUUGAAUAUAUGGCAACAACAUCUUGUACA